rnacentral:rRNA from 1 species
AUUGAACGCUGGCGGCAUGCUUUACACAUGCAAGUCGAACGGCAGCGCGGGCUUCGGCCUGGCGGCGAGUGGCGAACGGGUGAGUAAUACAUCGGAACGUGCCCAGUAGUGGGGGAUAGCUCGGCGAAAGCCGGAUUAAUACCGCAUACGACCUGAGGGUGAAAGCGGGGGAUCUUCGGACCUCGCGCUAUUGGAGCGGCCGAUGGCAGAUUAGCUAGUUGGUGGGGUAAAGGCCUACCAAGGCGACGAUCUGUAGCUGGUCUGAGAGGACGACCAGCCACACUGGGACUGAGACACGGCCCAGACUCCUACGGGAGGCAGCAGUGGGGAAUUUUGGACAAUGGGCGAAAGCCUGAUCCAGCAAUGCCGCGGGUGUGAUGAAGGCCUUCGGGUUGUAAAGCACUUUUGGCGGGAACGAAAAGGACUGUGCCAAUACCACGGUUCGAUGACGGUACCCGCAGAAUAAGCACUGGCGAACUACGU